GCAAAAACGAAGAUGGGGAAUGGAAACAGUAAAGUCUUUACAGAGAACCGGUAAUGCUGAGAUCCGGUAAGAACCACUGUUGACUCUCACCCCUGAGUGCCUUUUUGAACCUAAGUAGAAAAGGCCGGGUUAUCAAUAAUAACUCGUUAGCAAAAUGACAAACUGUUGUCUUUGAGACGGUUUUUUUAUUAAUAAAAAUCGUGAACAAGGGUGGUACCGUGAAAAGAAGUCUUUUCGCCCCUUCU
rnacentral:ncRNA from 1 species